AUUCAUACCAAACCCAGCUGUGCGACUGGUUGUACUUGACAAAGUUAAAAAGUCUGCAAAAGGAAAAUGCAGUAAUUUAACCAAGCUAAAAUUAACUACGAAUAUUUGUGGAUAUAAAAACAAAGUGGUCUUCUUUCUAUUCAACGUAAAAGGGCAACACUUUUUGAAUUAAAUGGUUAUUAAUUCAUGAUACCAGUUAUUAUUUUAUUUCAAACACACUCCACUUCGCACUCACGAAACCCUCUUACGACUACCGUAUAUAUACGAUACAGAUAUAUACAGAUAUGUAACAUAUGCCUAGGAUAUACAUAUAUAAUCAUAAACAAUCAAAAAAAAAAUUAAUAAGGCGAACGAGAACCAACUAGAUGUUUGCAGCCAACAAUUAACAAUGAAAUCGGGCUUCCCCGGCGGCUAGAUAUUCCACAGAAACGGAAAUUCCCAUUUACAGACACACUCCACUUCAC